rnacentral:lncRNA from 1 species
CUGGGCACAAACAAGUAUCAAAUUCUAUAGUGGUUAAAAUAAAUAGUUACACAAAGUGAACAGGAGUUUUGAUAAAAUACUAGUUCUGGUGAUCUCUAAUAUGAGCCAUUUAUACUCCAAGGAAGCUUAAAAAAUCCAUUUUAGAGAACAGAAAUAUUGUCCAGGUGCUGCUAAGUACGUCUUUAUUCUAAAAGUCCUAUUGUUACUCUGUAGGUACCGGGCAUCUGAGGGAUGCUGACAAGCAUGAAUGUAUUUUAAGGAAGAAUGAUCAAUAGGGAGAAGGGAUGUGAAAGCAUGGCUGAGUUGUUCAGUGUGGUUGUCACCAGCUACAAAACUCAGUUCCUCAAUCACACUACCAGCCCUUCUAGCAUUCAGUGCACAAGUGGCAGCAGGUACUCUCCUGAACAGUUUAAACACGACCUCAAGUCCUGUAGAACAGUACUGUAGAAGCCAUGAUGGACGCAACUGAAGAUAACAGGGAACAGAGAAGCCUUUCUGGGGCCUGGAGCUCACUGUUCUAUCGGGUUGAGAAGACUUGGUGUGUAAUAAAGACUGCAUUUGAAUAGUAGAAGGACUGUGGCAAAGAAGUGACUGCUAUUUUGUUCCACUUUAGGCUUUGAGGAGUUUGACUGUUGGCUUGAAGCUUAAUUUUGACUGAUUUUGAUAUUAUAGCAGGGAAUAAUCCUGAACUUCUGGUCUUGCUUUUGCUUCCUUGGUGCUGUGAUAACAGGCAAGUGCUACCAGGCCUGGAGUUAGGUAGUGCUGCAGAUGGAACCUAGGGUUUCCUGAAAACUAGGCAAGCAUUCUUCCAACUGAGCUGUAUCCCCAACCCCUUGAAUAAGAAACUUUAUAAAAAUUAUUUUUAUUUUAUGUGUAUGAGUGUUUUGCCUGCAUGUAAUUUUGAGUACCACCUGUGUGUCUGGCAUCCUCAGAGGCCAGAAGAGGGCACUGGAUACCCUGACACUUUAUAGUUGUGAGCCAUUAUAUGGGUGCUGGGACUGAAUGUGGGUCUCCUGCAAGAGCACCAAGUGCUUUUACCCACUGAGCCAUCUCUGGAGCACAGAAUAAAAUUUAUACAAAAUAGAGCUUUGAAGAUGGCUCAGUGGGCAAGCACUUGUCAAGUAAAUGUGAGGUCUUGAGUUUGAACCCCCAAACUCACAUAAAGUUGAGCAUAUUUAUGUCAGUAAUCCCAGGGCUCCCACUGUGAGCUGGGAGGUGGAUAGGAGUCAGCCCAGAAAUGUACAGGCUAGCUAGCUUUGCAUAUGCAA